rnacentral:lncRNA from 1 species
UAAGAACAAUUAUACUAAGUACACAUGCUUCAAACACAUCAAGGAUACGUUUCCAAGAAAUACAAAUAUGAUAAAUUUUCUUUCAUGGACAAACAAAACAUGGCUCCAUUGUUCCAGGGAAAAACAAUUUAAAUUGAAUACAUGCUUCAGAAAAAUUGCUACUACUCCUAUUGCCCUCCUCCUUUGCUUUUGUCCAGGAUCUCACAACCUAGCCAUCAAGUGUUACUUUAGGAGCGGCUCCUGAAGGCGAGCAUUAUCUUGGAGCCAGUGAUAUACUACGAGAAGCACAUCAGUCUGCUUCCGCCGGCUCAAAGAAGUCAUUCGUCGCUGCGAUGGUGCUUCAAAUGGCAGUAAAAGCUUCCAACAUUAUCCAAAUCACCAAUCAAUUGCUUGAAGCAAACAUCAUUCCAAUUGACAUAAUAAAAUGUUUGAUUGGAAGUACAUAAUCAAGAUAUGAUCUGUGAACUAGUGUGGAGGAGCAGUUGUAUGACAGAAGCAUACAAUUUGGCAUUUGGAAGCAAAAUAAAGUAGGGUGGAAACAUAUAAUUACACACACUAGCAAAUGGCUUGGCGAUCAUGUUGUCUUGAUUUUGUCAAGUCUGGAAGCAUAUUGUUAGAACAACGUUGGAGAGAGGCCUGAGGAGGUACGGAAUGACAAUGAAUAUGCAAGCACAACAUAAUCUGGCAUCAACAGUGAAAUAUACAUGCAUAACUACUAUAGUGAAAAUGUUAAAUUACACAAUGAGACCAUUGUAAGAAACAAAAUCACAUAACUGAUGAGAACUAUAAUGAAACAUGUUUGCUUUGGAAAUAAAAAUAUAUCCAUGCACUAGAAAAAAAUGUACUAAAUUAAGAAGCAUGAUUGUAGUUAUAUCUGCACGUAUCUAAGAAACAUGGAAGAUGCACCUAGGAAGUGUGGAUGCUCUGAAGAAAAUGAUAUGCACAUCUUUACACCUAGGGAACAUGGCAAGAGACUGAAGUUCCAUAGCAUGGAAGAUGCAUGUGUACAUAAGAAUCAUGCUAUGAAGAAAUAACAAUUAUUCACACCUAGGAAAGUAUGCCAGGAGUUUGGAAGAAUCAUAUGUACACAUGAAACUCCUUGGAAGCAUGUCACUACAAUAUCUUAUGGAAAACGUACAUAAAAUAGAAGCAUAUAUGAUAAACAAUGGAAGCAUAACAAGGAAUGGAAAAGAAGUAUGGAAGCAUGUCACAACUGGGCAGAAAACAGGUAAUCCAUAUGAGAUGACGGAUUGAAGCAUUUUUCUGGCUGUCCGUAGCAUAAUCAGUACAUAGUCGAAGCACACUGGUACGAAGCUAGAAAAAAAAUACAGAUGAUGCAUUAUUAGUGCGAGGUGGAAGCAUCAACUUUGGGAGCAUAUAAAAAAGCAUGGAAGCAUAACUUAUGUUGAGGAGAUUAGUUGAAGCUCUAUCAAAACAACAAAGGAGCACAAAGUUAUGCCACCGAAGCAUAGGAACACAAAGGGCAGCCCAGUCAAUUGGCCUGCGGCAUAUCGGCUCUUCGGCAUACACUCAUGCUUCAAAUUUCUUAAUUACCCUCGGGUCAACUGAAAAGAUAAGACAUGAAAGCAUGUUACAGGAACAAUUAAAAUUUCUGUACACAGAAACCAUGUAAGCAAAUGCAGUGUCAUAUUUGAAGUUUGAGUUGCGCUGGUCGGACGAAAAUAUGCUAUACACAAGAUACAUAGAAGAUAUGAUAUUCAUAUGGGUCGAAAUUGAAGCAUACAACAAUGGAUAUUGAAGCAAAACUGAAAAUUGUUGGCCAACAAGGGAUAGACGUUUUGUCUCUCCAACAUAGAUUGAUCUAUAUUAUUUUGUUUUUGGCAUUUGGAAGCAAAAAAAAUUACAGUCUAGAAGCAUCUGUAUAGAAUUAUAAAUUGUACUUCCUCUGUAAACUAAUAUAAGAGCAUUUAGAUUACUACUUUAGUAUGCUAAACGCUCUUAUAUUAGUUUACGGAGGGAGUACAAAACUAAGAAGCACGUACAUACUAUUGUGGAGACAGAUCUAAACUUAGACGGAAACAACCAAAUUUUGAAAUCAAGUCGAACAGAAAUAUACGGCCAAUAUUGGGAAUUGAGAAUCAGAUCAUUGUGGUCUACAUAGGAAAUUAACCGAAAUUCAUAGAUGAAGCGGGGUGGGGGCAAGAAAAUAAGAAGAUGACCUCCUCAGAUCUAUUCACACCCCUACACCAAUAUCCAGCGCCUCCGUCUCGCCCUGCACCAAGUUGUGUUUUGGCAAAG